rnacentral:rRNA from 1 species
UACGUAGGGUGCGAGCGUUGUCCGGAAUUACUGGGCGUAAAGAGCUCGUAGGCGGUUUGUCGCGUUGUCCGUGAAAACUCACAACUCAAUUGUGGGCGUGCGGGCGAUACGGGCAGACUGGAGUACUGCAGGGGAGACUGGAAUUCCUGGUGUAGCGGUGGAAUGCGCAGAUAUCAGGAGGAACACCGGUGGCGAAGGCGGGUCUCUGGGCCGACAUUGACGCUGAGGAGCGAAAGCGUGGGGAGCGAACAGG